UACAGAGGUCUCAAGCGUUGUUCGGAUUCAUUGGGCGUAAAGGGUGCGUAGGCGGCGCGGUAAGUCGGAUGUGAAAUCUCGGAGCUUAACUCCGAAACUGCAUUCGAUACUGCUGUGCUUGAGGACUGGAGAGGAGACUGGAAUUUACGGUGUAGCGGUGAAAUGCGUAGAUAUCGUAAGGAAGACCAGUGGCGAAGGCGGGUCUCUGGACAGUUCCUGACGCUGAGGCACGAAGGCCAGGGGAGCAAACGGG
rnacentral:rRNA from 1 species